rnacentral:lncRNA from 1 species
UAGGGUUUCGACCCUAGCUUUUACGCCGCCACGCCUUUGCCGUGAUCCCACCGUGGAAGGUGGUUGGAGUCGCACCCCAAAGGGGCUUAUUGGCUCUUUUCGCGCAGAUUUAAGGCGUCUCCAGGUAUUUCCCUUUUUUUAAAUAAAUAAUAAAACCUGAUUUGGGUAUUUUUUAGAAGAAAUAAAACACAGAAGCAAUGGCCUUUCGGCCUCUGUAAUUCCAAUUGCAAAUCCGUGCGAAACCCUAAAGGGCUUUCGUGGCUUUGACGAACGGAGGAACCUCCGACAGCGGUGCGCGAUCCAAAAUCAGGUCUGUUGCAACCCCUUUCUUUCCUUUUUUUAUACAUUUUUUUAAAUAGUAUGCAAAGGAAAAAAUAUAAAGAAAACAAAAAAAAAACAAAAACAACAGUUCGAGAUAAAAUGUUGACCUUUUAAUCUCUUAAUUGAUUUUGUGCACUCUUGGUAUUCUCUGUUGUUUGUGAAAACACUCGUGCUUUUUUAUUGAUUUUUUUCCAUCCGUUUUACAGUGUAUUUAGUAGCUUUACAAACAAUGAAACAAAAAAUGGAAAGAAAAUCUAUUCGUAUCUGCUUGAUUUUGCGAUCUUCUUGAUUUUCUUGCCAUAUUUGUUGCCUAUACUGCCCUAUUUCUUUCUUGCUGUGCAGGUGAACGAGGAUGCGGCUGGCGCGAAGUACUUGGUUGCGGCGCGAGGCUUACCCUAGAAAACCUGGGGUUUUUUUUUUGUUUUGAUACUGUUUUGGGCCUAUGCUUGUGAUGGGUCACUGUAUUUUAGGUUUGGGCCGUAUUGGCCCACUGUAAUUUGGACUCUAUUUUUUAUUUGUUUACUGAGGGCCUUUUAGACUCGGGCCAAACUCGGGUAUUACAUGGCUCAUGAAUGUUAUUUUUACAACUAUUUUUUAAUUGAUUUUGACAUAAUAAUAAAAAAAUUAAC